rnacentral:rRNA from 1 species
GCGGGGGAAACGCUUGCAGCGAGCCUGAUCCAGCAUGCCGCGUGAGUGAUGAAGGCCUUAGGGUUGUAAGCUCUUUUACCCGGGAUGAUAAUGACAGUACCGGGAGAAUAAGCUCCGGCUAACUCCGUGCCAGCAGCCGCGGUAAUACA